rnacentral:rRNA from 1 species
AGAGUUUGAUCAUGGCUCAGGACGAACGCUGGCGGCGUGCUUCACACAUGCAAGUCGAACGGGGAUGCAGCAAAAGCUUGCUUUUAUUGCAUCCUAGUGGCGGACGGGUGAGUAACACGUGAGCAACCUGCCCGACAUACUGGGAUAACAGCGGGAAACCGUUGCUAAUACCGGAUACUCCAUUUCUGGCGCAUGUCAGAGAUGGGAAAGGGUUUACCGAUGUCGGAUGGGCUCGCGUCCCAUUAGCUGGUUGGUGAGGUAACGGCUCACCAAGGCUGCGAUGGGUAGCUGGUCUGAGAGGACGAUCAGCCACACUGGAACUGAGACACGGUCCAGACUCCUACGGGAGGCAGCAGUGGGGAAUAUUGCACAAUGGGCGAAAGCCUGAUGCAGCGACGCCGCGUGGAGGAUGAAGGCCUUCGGGUCGUAAACUCCUGUCUGGGGGGAUGAACACUGACAGUACCCCCGGAGGAAGCCCCGGCUAACUACGUGCCAGCAGCCGCGGUAAUACGUAGGGGGCGAGCGUUGUCCGGAAUUACUGGGCGUAAAGCGCGCGCAGGCGGCUUGUUAAGUCAGGUGUCAAAAUGCGGGGCUCAACCCCGUAUCGCACUUGAAACUGGCAGGCUUGAGUGCAGGAGAGGGAAGUGGAAUUCCUAGUGUAGCGGUGAAAUGCGUAGAUAUUAGGAGGAACACCAGUGGCGAANGCGACUUCCUGGACUGUAACUGACGCUCAGGCGCGAAAGCUAGGGGAGCAAACAGGAUUAGAUACCCUGNUAGUCCUAGCCGUAAACGAUGGGUACUAGGUGUUGGGGGUGACAAUCCCCCAGUGCCGCAGUUAACGCAUUAAGUACCCCGCCUGGGGACUACGGCCGCAAGGCUGAAACUCAAAUGAAUUGANG